CAUUGAAACGCUGAUUCUCGUAAGAUCACCAAAGUUAAGCAACAUCGAGCCUGGUCAGUACUUAGAUGGGUGACCACUUGGGAAUACCAGGUGCUGUAAG